AAACCGCACAAUCCAUUCUGCGUGAAAGGACUUAAGUUGGGUUGGUUUGCCCAUUUUCGCAAGGACAAAGCAAUCCCAGUGCUCACCCGUUUACUAGUCUCUUCCCAGAUUUUCCUGCACUGCUGAAGCAAAUACAACAUGAGUGGCGCCAAUAACGAUGCCACUUCGCCUUCCUUCCUCUCCGACAAAUCGGCCAGGAUCUUCGUAGCCGGCCACCGCGGCCUCGUCGGCUCCGCCAUCGUCCGCAAGCUCCAAGCCCUAGGCUUCACCAACCUUGUCCUCCGCACCCACGCCGAGCUCGACCUCACCCGCCAAGCCGACGUCGAGUCCUUCUUCGCCGCCGAGAAACCCCGAUUCGUGAUCCUCGCUGCCGCUAAAGUCGGCGGCAUUCACGCCAACAACACCUACCCGGCGGAUUUCAUCGCCGUCAAUCUCCAGAUCCAGACCAACGUCAUCGAUGCCGCCUACCGAUUCGGAGUCAAGAAGCUCUUGUUCCUCGGCUCCUCCUGCAUUUACCCCAAAUUCGCUCCUCAGCCCAUCCCGGAGAACGCAUUGCUGACGGGCCCGCUCGAGCCCACGAACGAGUGGUACGCCAUUGCCAAGAUCGCCGGGAUCAAGAUGUGCCAGGCGUAUCGGAUUCAGUACAAUUGGGAUGCAAUUUCUGGGAUGCCCACCAAUUUGUACGGGCCGCAUGAUAACUUUCACCCCGAAAAUUCGCACGUUUUGCCGGCACUGAUGAGGCGGUUUCAUGAGGCAAAGGUGAAGCGUGCAGAGGAGGUGGUGGUGUGGGGGACCGGAAGCCCCUUGAGGGAGUUUUUGCAUGUCGAUGAUUUGGCGGAUGGGGUGGUGUUCAUGAUGGAGAGUUACAGUGGGUUGGAGCAUGUCAAUGUGGGGAGUGGCAAGGAAGUGACUAUCAAGGAGUUGGCUGAACUUGUCAAGGAGGUUGUUGGGUUCGAGGGACGGCUUGUCUGGGACUCUACUAAGCCGGAUGGAACUCCGAGGAAGCUCAUGGAUAGCUCGAAGCUCGCAGGCUUGGGAUGGACACCGAAGAUCUCGCUGAAAGACGGGCUUGUUGAUACUUAUAGCUGGUACUUGGAGAAUGUCAAGCAGUGAUAAUGCAGGUUCAUAGAUUAGAACUCACCACUUGAAAUGUCUCUAGCAAUUUUCCGAGUUGGUGUGCAUGUUGCUCUUCAUCAUUCACUCCAUCAAGCAUUAUGUACUCAAUGAAGAUUUUCUGCUGACUAAAGAAUCAGAUUGAAGGGCAAUAUGUAUCCAUAAGCUUUACUAAAGGAAAAGCCCGAGCCGCAGGCAUUAUCUGACAACGAAUUUCUUGGACUGGAGCAUGAAGUGAAACUGCUAAGUUCAGACCUGGAAGAUCACUAUGAAGCUUUUUGAUAGCAUGAAUAAUGCCGACCUACAGAAGAUUAGAUGAACAACUGAUAGACCAGUAAGCCAAAUGCUUGUAGCAAUUGCGAACUACAUCAUUACUAAUGCAACUAUGAUUGACCCCCA